rnacentral:rRNA from 1 species
UAUUUUGGGGGCUAGCGGUGUUCGGAAUUACUGGGCGUAAAGGGCGCGUAGGCGGUCUUGUAAGUCAGAUGUGAAAGCCCCGGGCUCAACCCGGGAAUAGCAUUUGAUACUGCGAGGCUUGAGUCCGGGAGAGGAUGGCGGAAUUCCCAGUGUAGAGGUGAAAUUCGUAGAUAUUGGGAAGAACACCGGUGGCGAAGGCGGCCAUCUGGACCGGUACUGACGCUGAGGCGCGAAAGCGUGGGGAGCAAACAGG